GAUGAACGCUGGCGGCGUGCCUAAUACAUGCAAGUCGAGCGAACAGACGAGGAGCUUGCUCCUCUGACGUUAGCGGCGGACGGGUGAGUAACACGUGGAUAACCUACCUAUAAGACUGGGAAAACUUCGGGAAACCGGAGCUAAUACCGGAUAAUAUAUUGAACCGCAUGGUUCAAUAGUGAAAGACGGUUUUGCUGUCACGUAUAGAUGGAUCCGCGCCGCAUUAGCUAGUUGGUAAGGUAACGGCUUACCAAGGCAACGAGGCGUAGCCGACCUGAGGGGGUGAUCGGCCACCCUGGAACUGAGACACGGUCCAGACUCCUACGGGAGGCAGCAGUAGGGAAUCUUCCGCAAUGGGCGAAAGCCUGACGGAGCAACGCCGCGUGAGUGAUGAAGGUCUUCGGAUCGUAAAACUCUGUUAUUAGGGAAGAACAAAUGUGUAAGUAACUAUGCACGUCUUGACGGUUCCUAAGCAGAGAGCCACGGCUAGCUACGUU
rnacentral:rRNA from 1 species